rnacentral:rRNA from 1 species
GACGAACGCUGGCGGCGUGCUUAACACAUGCAAGUCGAGCGGUAAGGCCUUUCGGGGUACACGAGCGGCGAACGGGUGAGUAACACGUGGGUGACCUGCCCUCAGCUCUGGGAUAAGCCUGGGAAACUGGGUCUAAUACUGGAUAUGACUCCACGGUGCAUGUCGUGGGGUGGAAAGCCUUGUGCGGCUGAGGAUGGGCCCGCGGCCUAUCAGCUUGUUGGUGGGGGAUGGCCUACCAAGGCGACGACGGGUAGCCGGCCUGAGAGGGCGACCGGCCACACUGGGACUGAGACACGGCCCAGACUCCUACGGGAGGCAGCAGUGGGGAAUCUUGCGCAAUGGGCGAAAGCCUGACGCAGCGACGCCGCGUGAGGGAUGACGGCCUGGUGUAACGU